rnacentral:rRNA from 1 species
GUAUUAAAGGCAACGCCUGCCCAGUGAAAAUUAAACGGCCGCGGUACCCUAACCGUGCAAAGGUAGCAUAAUCAUUUGUCUAUUAAUUGUAGACCUGUAUGAAAGGCAAAAUGAGAGCCCGACUGUCUCUUAUAAUAAAUCAAUUAAACUGAUCUUCUAGUACAAAAGCUAGAAUGCCAACAUAAGACCAGAAGACCCUGUGAAGCUUUAACUAACCUAUUAAACCCAAUAAUAACUACUUUCGGUUGGGGCGACCUUGGAAUAAAAAAGAACUUCCAAUAAUAUGACUAAUCAUAAAAAAGGCAAACGAGCCAACACUAGACCCAGUACUACUGAUAAUUGAAAUAAGUUACUCCAGGGAUAACAGCGCCAUCUUCUUUAAGAGCCCAUAUCAAAAAGAAGGUUUACGACCUCGAUGUUGGAUCAGGGCGUCCCAGUAAUGCAACCGUUACUAAAGGUUCGUUUGUUCAACGAUUAACAGCCCUACGUGAUCUGAG